GUUGAUGGCCAUACGACGGUGAACGCACCCGAUCUAGUCUGACCUCGGAAGCUAAGGAGGGUGGGGAUAGAGUUAGUACUUGGAUGGGAGAAGUCACAAAAAAAAAAAAAAAGCCAAAAAAG
rnacentral:rRNA from 10 species